GAUGAAGAACGUAGCGAAAUGCGAUAACUAAUGUGAAUUGCAGAAUUCAGUGAAUCAUCGAGUCUUUGAACGCACAUUGCGCCCCCUGGUAUUCCGGGGGGCAUGCCUGUCCGAGCGUCAUUGCUGCCCUCAAGCACGGCUUGUGUGUUGGGCUCCGUCUCCCCGGGGACGGGCCCGAAAGGCAGCGGCGGCACCGAGUCCGGUCCUCGAGCGUAUGGGGCUUUGUCACCCGCUCUGUAGGCCCGGCCGGCGCCAGCCGACAACCCAUCAUCCUUUUCAGGUUGACCUCGGAUCAGGUAGGGAUACCCGCUGAACUUAAGCAUAUCAAUAAGCGGAGGA
rnacentral:misc_RNA from 1 species